AUUGGAUGUAGAAGUGAUCUCACACAGCCACACUGCCUUGACAGAUGGGAUGGAUGGACAGAGAAAUAGUGAAGAAUCUGGAGACAUCACACAGCAGGUAAGGCAGUUCAUUUGCUUUGGUGAAAACUCUUAAAUAAUCUUAAUAGACCAUACAAAAUAUCUUUAAAAUUAUCAAGAAUCCCUUCAGUUGAUCUGCACUCUUUCUGCAUGAUUCUCAUGGACUCAGAUUUUUUUAUUCUUGAUUCUUGAGGACAAACUGAUGUAGUGCAUGAAAAUCUAUUAAUGAAGUCGCUGUGUUGCUCGCUUUGUUCUCCUCUUUCCCUUUUAGCACUUCCUCAGAGCACUGGAUGUGUUCCCACUGCUUUCUCCCCCAUUCCUGUGCAGGAGGAGAAUGGAUAGCACAUCCAGCCUUCAGGUGGCUGCUAAUAUGACAUGUACAACUUCAGACAUUUAUGUGAGCACCCAGAAUAACAGGACAAAGUUGGCGACAACCUGAGGUCAUCUUGCCUAUAAACCACCCAACCACUGCCCUGCAGUUUCUAAGAGUUUUUGCCACUGUGGUGCACAGAAGUGGGAUGGAAACAAAAUACAGAGGCAAUGCCCACCAAAUCUCGGUGGCUGAGGAACUGCUGAACACCUUGAUGGACAGGACUGGGAUACAGAAGAGCUUCUUCUAUAGGAUGUGGCUGGUUUGGCUGAAUAUGAGAGCAGAGGUUUCCCCAGGAUCUUCAGACAUGAGCCUCAAGGUACUGUGAAUUUUGUUUAAAGGAUGAGAUGAAAAAAGAUGUGGAAGACAUGUAAGUGAGAAGAUGUAAAUACAAAAUACAAACAAAGUGCAGGAUAUAAUGUUAAGGGUUUGUAUUUUGUCAAGCUCCAUGCUAAGCAUCACGGUCAGUAACUGCCAUUGGAGGGGGAACACUUGGCCAUCACAAUGCACAGGACUGUGAUGUACAAAGCAACCCUGAUGCAAAUUUACUUAGCAUCAAGUAUUCC